UUUGGGUACGACGUCAACAACUUGGUGACCUUCCCCAAUCAGUCCUUUCGGAGAGUGCGUGUUGGUUGGAUCGAUCCUCAUGGUCCUGAUGGAAAGAAGUUCACCCUGAAUGGAAGUGCCGUUGUGUGGAAUCCCAAGUUCAAUCAGACAGUUCCUCGUGCUGCCUGUGUGGAGAGCUGCCAGCCCGGUUACAGCAAGAUUGUCCAGCAGGGGGAGCCAGUUUGUUGUUACCAAUGCGCUCGGUGCCCGGAAGGCAGAAUUUCCAUCCAUGCUGAUGCAGAUCGAUGUGAGAAGUGCUAUGAAGAUCGGUAUCCAAACCAGGGCCAGGAUCGCUGCCUCUUGAAAAGUGUGGUUUACUUGUCCUACAGAGAACCUUUGGGAGCAACUUUGGGGUGUUGUGCCUUUUUGUUUUCUGGGCUGAC